UAUAUGACUGGAUCACUUUGCUGUGUGGCAGAAAUUAGCACAACAUUGUAAAUCGAAUAUGCUUUAAUCUUAAAAAGGGAAAUAAAAACAGAGAGGCAGUAAGUUUGUAAUGGGAUCUGGAUGGGUGCUGGCACUCUCAACCAUUUUGCCAUGUUCUUUGCAGAGCCUGGCAUACAGGGGGCUCCCUGUCACUCCACUUUCUCUGCUUCACUAGAGGUCUGGAGAUCCGCUUGCUCAUUCCAUUACUGACUGACCGUAACUUAUUUUGUGACCUUGGGCAAGUCACUUCUUUAAACCUUAAUUUUCACAUUUACCCUCAGUGGUAGGGAUUAGGUUUUAUUCUUCUUUGGUUCCCAGCAUUUAGCUGGACAGGGCUUGGCAUAUAAUGGGUAUAGAGUACUGAGGCAAUUGAUUACACUAGAUGAUCUCUAAGGGUUCUUUCAAUCUCUACUUUCUGAAUAUCAUAGGUAUGUGAUAUCCUCUUCCCUCUUGAGCAUCAUGUUCCCCCCUCUCCACCUGGCAGCAUGAUUUCCUCAUGUCUGUCUGUCUUAGGCCAUCUUGGAGAUAGCCACAUGAUGCCUGUGUUUUCACUCAUUUGCAAAAUGUGUCUAGGAUAAACCCACCAGUGAUAACACAAGUAUGGGACAGAAGGGGCUGACUCACAAAGUCAGAAACAUGCUCUUACUCCAUUCUUACCCGCUGAGGCCUGGGCCUAGGGCAGCACUGCUGGCAGUCCUGCCAGGCCUGAGUAAUGGCUGCAGCCUGGAGCAGGGUUUUCCAUAAGCUUCAUUGGAGUUUCCAGUAAUUGGAACAUGGCACCUUCUGACUUGUAAUGGAUGGCAGAACGAGAGGGGCAUUUGUCACUGCCUGACUUCCGUGCAGGAAAGAGGCUCAUAAGUCACAACUGACAAACCCUUUGAUGACUUUUAAACUUCAUUUACAGAAAAGAAUAGCUAUAAUCAACCAACAGCAAGCAGUGACUAAUCUUGCCACAUUAUCACUGUGAGAAGCCAGCCUCUUAAGGUGUGGGAAGCGGGAGGAAUCCAUCCCUCAGGCUCACAGCAAGUGCUCAUUGGCUCUUGGACUUGAGAGUAUGCCCUCAGCAAGGCUCCAUGAGUUUUUUCCCCAAAGCAUCAGAAAGUAUUAGAAGGUGACCUCCUGGCAGGUACUGGGCACACUUAGCGCAAAGCCAUUCUGGGCCAAGAGUAAGAGCACUAGCCAGCUCUUGUAUAGAGUGUGUAGAGCUCUGCCACUUCUUGGCUUAUAUAGGACUGAGUGCUAACCCUUAGUUUCUUCAUCUGUUAAGUGGACACAGUAUAUAGCAUCGCCUACCUCAUAGUAGAAGACAUAGUGCAGUUCCUGGCAUGUAGUAAGUGUUCAGCAGGUAUUAAUGAUUAACACUGGAAGGGCCCUUUGUGGUCACAUGCUCCAAAACUCAUGGUCAUGUGGCACCUCAGCAAAGCCAGGAUUGAUAUGCCUAUUGCUGGGGGGCAGUGUGAGGAGAUGUCAUUAGGAGCAGUCUAGUAAAUUGGUAAGAACAAAGGCUUGCUGUCCUUUUGUCCUAAUCAUGCCACUUAAUGUAACUAUGGACAGAUUAUUUAAGCUCUCUCUGAGCCUUAGUUUCAUCUGUGGAGUAAAGAUGAUACUAGUAUCAUCUCUUUAGGUUGUGAUCAGGAUUCUGAAAGAUUAUACCUGUAAAGCUUCCAACAUAAUGCCUGGUAUGAAUAAAAUUGUGCUUUCCCUUUUCUCCCUCAAGACAGGAAUUAGUAUGCAACUGUCAAGGGAAAAAGAGCACAGAAGAAAUUCUAUUUCAGACCUUUAUUUCUAGCUCUAUCCUGCAUACACCUAUAGGAAGAAGGGCAGAAUAGGGGGAACAAAGAGGAGACAGGGGCAUGUUUUAUACAUUGUUCCUGCAGUUCCUCCUGCCAGGCAUAGUCUCCAUGCUACCACCAUGGAAAUUUUAUGGAGCCUUUUGUGACACACCUGCCCCUUCUCUAAUACACUAGACAGCUUUGCUGGGGCUGCGUCACGGGCAGUGGACUCCAUCCAGGGUACAUUUACUUUGUGGCCCUUGUGUCCCUUACUGGACUGGGAGAGUUCCUUGAGAUCAAGUACCAGACUUGUUGCUGAAUGAAUGAAUGAAGGAUUCAUUUGUUAAUUGGCCCAGUGAGUGUUGGGAUAGCUAUAAUUAUCAUUGAAUGGGUAGGUAGGUAUUUGGAUGACCUCUUUGGUUAAAAACAAAAGAUGGAGAAUCAUUUGUAAUUCUCUAACUCAGUACUGGGGAUUGUACACCCAAGUUUGUACCUACCCACCCUUUGUUGCCCUUUAUCCCAUAGCUACAAGGACUGCUUGGCACAGAUGCUAAACCUCAGCCUAAGGCCAUAGUCAAGGUAGGGUCAGAGUCCAAGAUACAGGGAAUAUAGGGUAUAUACUCAGUUGAUACUGGGGAGAGUUGACUGAGGCCCCAGCUCUACCUUUGGUUUCUGCUGUGGGGUCUCUUCUCAGGGCUAACAGAUGCUCAAACCAGUGUUACAGUAUAGGACUAGAAACCUCAUGGUGUGGCUGGCGUAGAGUUGAGUCAGUAGUUCAGCAAGGCCCGGAACUCCUCUCAGCCAGUGUUCUUUCCUCUCCUGGUCCUAUACAGUAGUGAUUUGGCAAGCAUAGGGUGGGGGCACUUUUAUGAAAUUUCUAGAUUUGCUUCCAGAUGCUAAUCAAGGGAGAGAACAUGCAUAGGCUCCCUCCCCAACUGCCUUAUUCUCAGGUUGGAGCACUGGAAGACAACCUGGGUAAAGAGCAUUAAUUAGGGCUGGAGUGUGGAGGAUCUAGACUGCAAGGCUAGCUUCAUUUGUUUUCAUAGGGCAUAGAGCAAUUGAGUUUCUUAUGUAAAUAUCUACUGGUCCCAGUUAUACUGGGCACUGUACACAUAUUAUCUCUAAUCCUUGCCCUUCAUCCUGGGAGGCUGGUAAAAUCCCCAUUUUGCAGUUUAAGAGUCAGGCCCAACAAGGCUGAGGGACACGUCUAAGGUUAUCUCACAUAAGUGGUAAGGCUGGGAUUGGAACUUAGUCCUGACUGCAGAGCCUGUGCUGUUUCUGCUAUUCCAUGUUAUUAGGAAACACUGAAGAAGCAGGUUCCUGGAGAGAGGGUAGGAGUUCCCAUUGUGGCUCAGUGGUAAUGAAGCUGACUAGGAUCCAUGAGGACGUGGGUUCGAUCCCUGGCCUCACUCAGUGGGUUAAGGAUCUGUCAUUGCCUUGAGCUGUGGUGUAGGUCACAGACACAGCUUGGAUCUGGCGUUGCUGUGGCUGUGGGGUAGGUUGGCAGCUGCAGCUCCCAUUUGACCCCUA
rnacentral:lncRNA from 1 species